UACGUAGGGUGCAAGCGUUGUCCGGAAUUAUUGGGCGUAAAGAGCUCGUAGGCGGUCUGUCACGUCGGAUGUGAAAAUCCAGGGCUCAACCCUGGACCUGCAUUCGAUACGGGCAGACUAGAAUUCGGUAGGGGAGACUGGAAUUCCUGGUGUAGCGGUGAAAUGCGCAGAUAUCAGGAGGAACACCGGUGGCGAAGGCGGGUCUCUGGGCCGAUAUUGACGCUGAGGAGCGAAAGCGUGGGGAGCGAACAGG
rnacentral:rRNA from 1 species